AGGGAGUUGGUGUCUAGACUGCAGAAGAAGAUGUAUACUGUACUUAGGAAGCUCUCCUUGCCUCUUUGCCAGAAGGGGUACCAAGGAAAAAAAGAUUGAUGAAGGCUGUGUUGAAGAGGUGGUGUUCCAGCUGAGCCUAAAGCAAAGGUCAAGUUUGAAUUGAUAGAGUACUGUAAAAACUGUGGCUUGGGAGAAUUUACCAUGAAGAACAAAUAAGAAAAUGAGGAAAAAUAAAGAAAGAAGGAAGGAGAUGGGAUUUAAUGUCAACUAACAUGUAUCAGUAAGAAGCAUGUGGAAGAUCCUUUAUCAAAAUAUUCAGUUCCAGGGAUACAUGUGCAGGUUUCUCACAUGGGAUAAAUUGCAUGUCGCUGAGGGUUGGUGUACAAUGAUCCCGUCACCCAGAUCUGCUCUGCACCCUUUCCAUCUGUCCUCAGCCAGGAAAAAACUGACCUAUAAGGACCAUAUCACCUGGGUUCCUUUGACUUCUGGCUUCGAGUUGAAGACCAUCAAUGGGGAACAUGAUUAGGAGACGGGGGCAGAGGACAACGAAGAAGAGUAAGGGUUCUAUUUAGUCACCUAAACUACAAACCAGGGCAUCAGCUCUAUCUAAUGAAGUCCUGCCAAUAUAACCUCUUCAAAGAAAUGAAAAAAAGAGAGCUAACUAAGGCCAAGAGUUGUGGUUGAUGAAUGUUGUGAGCUCAACUGUGGUUGAAGAUUAGAAUGGACUAAUCUUUAUAUUUAUAGUUAUUCCUCUGAUAAUAUCCAAAGCUUUACUAAAAAACAAUAGCAAAACUAAUCAUUUAAUGAUUUAAGUUUUCAAAGACAAUUUAGGAAACAUUUAUAUCAGACUAUCUGGAAUGUCAUUUUUAUACUAGUGCCCUUGGUGAUUUAGAUAUUCCCCUUCAAGGUAAUAGUGGGAAGAGUAACUAUCUCUGACAUACCAGGCUGAUAUGUACUGUUUUUUCUCCAAGAUGUUACUUAUGGGAGUAUGUUUUAUAUAAGAAUAUGUUUGAAUCAAAAAAAAAAUUCAAGACUCAAUGAGCAAGGCUAAGAUAAUAGAAGGAACUAAAAUGUCCCUGGGUACCUAUCACUGGUCAUAAUACUAAUCUGCUUCUCAAGAGAGAGAUUAUUUCUCCCUAAUUUCCAGUUUUGUGAUAAAGCCCUUCUUCAGAUUUGAGUAAACAUAGGACAUAAUGUAAUUUCAUCUAAAACAGAUUGUUAUCAAGAUGAAAGAUUCAUUGAAAUGCCUACAAAACACUAAGAGAGUCUAUUUGGAAGUGAUAGCAAUUUAAAAAAAAAAUCAAUCCAUCAAGAGUAUGUUAACAGUCCUGGGAAGGUAAUGCGAUUUGAAUAUAGUAUUAGAGAGAAAUAAAUGAAAUUUGCAAAUUACUUAGACUAUAGCACAGAAUGUUGACGCUUAAUGUAAGCCGCAUAAUAUUGCUGCUGUUCAAUUUUUGUUCAUUUUGCAAAGUAACUAAACCCAAAUGUGAAUGUUCAAAAACUGCUUAUGCUAAAUAAAAUGGAUUCUGCUUUCCUUUCACAUCAGCAGCAAGUGCUUAGUAAUUAUUGCUGUCACUGGAUGUUAUACUGCAUUGAUCCAGGCAUUGAACUCUGAUGAUAUUGAUUUGUGCCUAAAGCUUGAAUAAAGUUUAGUGAACAGUCUCAAAUUCCCAGGAGUAGGUGCCCCUUGCUCUGUUUGUUCCCACCAUCCCAAGCAAAUGCCACACAACUUGAAAACUGUAAGUAGAUUAUGACUUUAUAUAUUUUAGUUUAAUGUAUGCUAAUUCCUUACUUAUACAACAAUUUUUCUUAAAGACCAUUAAAGGAUCCACUAAAGGUUAUUAAUCUUAAAUAUGACCAUGUCCUAGUGGAGAAGGAAGACAAGCCAGAUCUUAAUUAUUCAGCUGAAUAACUUUGAAACAUAGAUAUAAAAAAUUUUCAAAGAUCUCUUUCUCUUUUCCUCUCUCUCGUAUACACAUAGAGGGAAAAUAGAACUCUCAUAAAAUUUUAUUUUUCAGUCUCAAAAUAUUGCUUUUCAGUCCUUCUCUUAUGCUUUAAAAAUACCCACUAUUUCUAAUUUUUGACUGUUUACCUUUUUAUUACAUUUCCUUUUAUAUUUAUAAAACUUUUCUUUGAAAUAUAUCCAUCUAAAGUAAAAAGCUUUGGGGUAAGAAUACUUCAUAAGACUGAAAAUUGGCCUCUCAACCAGUGUCACCAUAGAAAAGGUGAUUAUAGAAAGACUGUAAAUUAUUCUCUAAGAAAAUGGGAAAGUACAAAUGCCACUCCCUUUGGAUAGAACUAUUCCCCCAAACAGUAUGGUUUUUUGUUUUUUGUUUUGUUUUGUUUUGUUUUGUUUUGUUUUUGAAGAUGCAAGACAAAAGUGAGGAACAAUUUGAGCAUUUAAUAGUAAGAUUUAACCUCAGAACAUAUAACUUUAGCCAGUGGUGUCCAGCAGUAAAACCAUAUUACAGCUUAAUGGAAUAGAGACUUCAUAGAGCCUACAGAUCCUGUUGACUGAGACAUUUACAUGAAACACUAUUUAUUUUUUGAUACUACUGGGAUUAAUAAUAUGUGAUAUUUGAUGUUAUCUAAGUUUAUUAGGAAAUACUUGUUGAUUAUGCUUCUGAAAUGAUAGAAGAAACAUUAAUCCAUUAAAUUUGGGAAUCUCAGUCCUAAUUUCCAAUGUUUCUUGUAUCUUCUAUUGCUUUAUAAGAAUCUUUAUUUCAAGGAUACUGGGGGUGAUUCUCUAUUGAAGUUGUUUUCAUAAUGGAAUUGGAAGAGAAAAUGACAGACAUAUGCAUCCUACAGUAUUUUACUAUGUCAAUUCAAAUGAAAUGAAAUAAAUAAGAAAUUGGAAGUUUUCA